rnacentral:rRNA from 1 species
GCUGCAGUAUUUUGACUGUACAAAGGUAGCAUAAUCAUUUGUUAUUUAAUUAAUAACUGGAAUGAAUGGUUUGAUGAAAAAUAGCCUUUCUUUAUUUUAAAUAAAAUAAUUUAAUUUUUUAGUUAAAAAGCUAAGAUUUAAUUAUUAGACGAUAAGACCCUAUAGAACUUUAUUUUUACAUUUUUAUUUUAUAAUAGUUUAUAAUUUUAUAUAAUAGUUAAAAAUUUGAUUGGGGUGAUCUUUAGAAUUAAUUAACUCUAAUUAAAUUUUAUCAUAAAUUAAUGUAAAAAUGAUCCUUAAUUAAGAUUAUUAGAAUAAGUUACCUUAGGGAUAACAGCGUAAUUUUAUUGGAGAGUUCAUAUUAAUAAUAAAGUUUGCGACCUCGAUGUUGGAUUAAA